rnacentral:rRNA from 1 species
UACGAAGGGGGCUAGCGUUGUUCGGAAUUACUGGGCGUAAAGCGCGCGCAGGCGGUUCUUCAAGUCAGCGGUUAAAGCCCGGAGCUCAACUCCGGAACUGCCAUUGAAACUGUAGAACUUGAGGAUGAGAGAGGUGAGUGGAAUUCCCAGUGUAGAGGUGAAAUUCGUAGAUAUUGGGAAGAACACCGGUGGCGAAGGCGGCUCACUGGCUCAUUUCUGACGCUCAGGCGCGACAGCGUGGGGAUCGAACAGG